CUAUCCUCAGAAGUUAAGGAGAAUAAUUUUUCUCCCUCCUCCUUGUAACAACCUUUUAUGUACUUGAAAGCAGUAAUCAUGUCCCCGCUCAUGCUCCUCUUCUCCAGACUAAACAAACCCAAUUUUUUUCAAUCAUUCCUCAUAAGUCAUGUUUUAUAGACCCUUAAUAAUUUUUUUAGUCCAAGAGGAAA